UACAGAGGGUGCGAGCGUUAAUCGGAAUUACUGGGCGUAAAGCGUGCGUAGACGGUAGCGUAAGUCAGAUGUGAAAGCCCCGGGCUCAACCUGGGAACUGCAUUUGAGACUGCUCUGCUCGGGUGCGGAAGAGGGAAGCGGAAUUUCCGGUGUAGCGGUGAAAUGCGUAGAUAUCGGAAGGAACACCGGUGGCGAAGGCGGCCCACUGGGCUGUCACUGACGCUGAGGCGCGAAAGCUCGGGGAGCGAACGGG
rnacentral:rRNA from 1 species